rnacentral:rRNA from 1 species
UACGUAGGGUGCGAGCGUUGUCCGGAAUUAUUGGGCGUAAAGAGCUCGUAGGCGGCUUGUCGCGUCGGAUGUGAAAGCCCGAGGCUUAACCUCGGGUCUGCAUUCGAUACGGGCAGGCUAGAGUGUGGUAGGGGAGAUCGGAAUUCCUGGUGUAGCGGUGAAAUGCGCAGAUAUCAGGAGGAACACCGGUGGCGAAGGCGGGUCUCUGGGCCGAUACUGACGCUGAGGAGCGAAAGCGUGGGGAGCGAACAGG